rnacentral:rRNA from 1 species
UACCAGCACCCCGGAGUGGUCGGGACGUUUAUUGGGCCUAAAGCAUCCGUAGCCGGUUCUACAAGUCUUCCGUUAAAUCCACCUGCUUAACAGAUGGGCUGCGGAAGAUACUAUAGAGCUAGGAGGCGGGAGAGGCAAGCGGUACUCGAUGGGUAGGGGUAAAAUCCGUUGAUCCAUUGAAGACCACCAGUGGCGAAGGCGGCUUGCCAGAACGCGCUCGACGGUGAGGGAUGAAAGCUGGGGGAGCAAACCGG